GAUUAGCUCAGUUGGUUCAGAGCACCUGGUUUACACCCAGGGGGUCGGGAGUUCGAGUCUCUCAUCGCCCA
rnacentral:tRNA from 1 species